rnacentral:rRNA from 1 species
UACGAAGGGGGCUAGCGUUGUUCGGAUUUACUGGGCGUAAAGCGCACGUAGGCGGAUCGAUCAGUCAGGGGUGAAAUCCCAGGGCUCAACCCUGGAACUGCCUUUGAUACUGUCGAUCUGGAGUAUGGAAGAGGUGAGUGGAACUCCGAGUGUAGAGGUGAAAUUCGUAGAUAUUCGGAGGAACACCAGUGGCGAAGGCGGCUCACUGGUCCAUUACUGACGCUGAGGUGCGAAAGCGUGGGGAGCAAACAGG